UGACAGAGCGUGCGUGGAGGCUGGCAUGGGGGCUUCUAAAGUUCUUUUGUGGCCCUGCAGGGAGGCAUAAGUGUGGUUCAGGCCAAGUGAGAGGUACUAAGGGAGAGUGCCAAGCCUUUCUCUGAGAGCUUUACCUAGGUCAUCUCACCAAGUUCCUACACACCCUGUGGCAUAGGCACUUUCGAUGUCCCCAUUGCAAAACUGAGGAGCCCAAGCCUCAGAGCAUUAGGAAAUGUGUUCCAGCAUCAAGGGCUUUUCCAGUGAGUCGGCUCUUCACGUCAGGUGGCCAAGAGAGAGGGCAGGAUCCAUGCCUACUUUCACUGGACAUCUUAUCCCUCCAACACCCGACAAGCCUUUACUGGAGGAGGUGGCAAUGAGAGUAAACAACAGCAAGUGAGCCCUUGCUUGCUCACUUCCUGUGGUCAGGGGGCAAGUUUGUUCUUUAUAUCAGGUGAGAGUAGGGGUAUGUCCAGGGAUCAGGCCAGUUCCAACAGUUUGAAGUAAGGCUCAUGGUGGCUUAAGGAAUUCAGAGCAUCCCAGCAGAAAGUGACCCUGGUCACUAUAGGUCCUUGGAAGAGUCAGCAAGGGACUUCUACACAUCUAGGGUAGGCUAAGUCUGUGGCUCCUGAUCAGCAGGAAGAAGUCUCAGAAGAAGAGAUUCAGUGCCUUAUUCCCUAAGAAUAAGGAUGUAGAGUCUCUCAGCAGGGAAUGAGACAGGUUGGGAACCUGGGACCCUGGGACCCUUUGCUGCGGUGCUUGCAUUUGGACACACCUCUCCUUGAGCAACGAAAUACAAAGAAACUGUAUAGGACUGAAAAUAACUUCCAACAUGGGUGGCUGGGGCAAGUUCUGGACAAAAAGAUACAAAGGGACCUAAACAUCCAAUUGUCACUUCUGAAGAGUGCCUGGAUUCUUUCAGUCUGGCAUAAUGUUUCUAAG
ensembl:lncRNA